rnacentral:lncRNA from 1 species
GGGACAAAAACCGCUCAAUAAAGAUCUUUGGAUCAGUUCCUCCAUCUGGCUGAGCUCCAUGCUCAUACCCAGUUCUGUCUCUGCUCUGAGGAAGCAAAGUGGGGACUCCCUACACAGGAGCCAUCGGCAUUCCUUAUGGUGAUGUCCCCUCCUCCCCUGCACACCCCACCAAUCCCUAAGCCGGCUUAGCUCCGUAGGUGCCUUGGGCCAGGCCAGGCAGCCUGGGAAGCCUUCUGAGUGCCUGAGGGGUGUGCCUGCGGUCUUUGUUUCAGAGAUGACGAGGGAAACACAAGGGCCGUUGGAGGGAGAGGGCACGAGUGAAGCCUACAGUCCCCACAGCUUCUAUGACAACACCAUUCAGAUUGGCAAGGCGUUUGCAGAGUACUUCACCGAGAUCCAGCUCUGCGAGAACUCAGCACUACAAAACACCUAAAAGAAAUUAGCUUGACACGGGAGCGCACCCGUGUACUCCUAGCUCUAUCAGUGACUGGCCUUGAGAAUGGGGGAACAUUACUUAAUCUCUAUGCCUGAGUUUUUUUCAUCUGUAUCACAAAGACAAUAGUGCUGAUCUUGAAAGUUG